CAGGUUUCACAGACUUCGAGCAUUUUAAAAAAAAUCUUAUGAAAACGAUAUGAUUGUUCGUUGUCUUCGAAACCUGCA
rnacentral:pre_miRNA from 1 species